rnacentral:lncRNA from 1 species
AAAAAGAUAAUCAUUAAAAUUCUCAAAAAAUGAUAAAUAUUUGGGCAUCAUGACUCUAAUAAUUGUAGCCAUUGAUCUAUUAUAUUUCUAAAAAAAAUUACCCAUGACUACCAUUAUGAAAAUAUGCUAAAGUAACACCUAAACCUAUAUUUAAAUUAUCCACCUCUACCAUUAUAAAAAUAAUCUAAAGUAACCCUACAAUCUUUGUCUAAAUCACCCAUACACGUUCCUAUAAAAAAUAAUGUAAAAUAUCCUUCUCGAAGUGUUAGCUACUAGGGUAAUGUUUGAGCGAAUGUAACUACGGUGCCAAUCGAUCCAAGAAGAAAUUAGACAG